CGGACGGGUGAGUAACGCGUGGGUAACCUACCCUGUACACACAGAUAACAUACCGAAAGGUAUGCUAAUACGGGAUAAUAUAUUUGAGAGGCAUCUCUUGAAUAUCAAAGGUGAGCCAGUACAGGAUGGACCCGCGUCUGAUUAGCUAGUUGGUAAGGUAACGGCUUACCAAGGUGACGAUCAGUAGCCGACCUGAGAGGGUGAUCGGCCACAUUGGAACUGAGACACGGUCCAA
rnacentral:rRNA from 1 species